rnacentral:rRNA from 1 species
AGUCGUAACAAGGUCUCCGUAGGGUGAGUUUUGAACGACUUCUAACUAAUAUUGAAUGAAUGCUAACAGAUUUCCAGUGAACCUGCGGAGGGAUCAUUACUGAGUGAGGGUCUCUGACCCGACCCUCCAAACCCUUUGUGAUUUAAACCUCUGUUGCCUCGGGGCGACCCGGACCCGCGUCUAGGGCCCCCGACGGACCAUUUCAAAACACUGCAUCUUUGCGUCGGAUUGAAUAAAGUAAAUGAUUAAAACUUUCAACAACGGAUCUCUUGGUUCUCGCAUCGAUGAAGAACGCAGCGAAAUGCGAUAAGUAAUGUGAAUUGCAGAAUUCAGUGAAUCAUCGAAUCUUUGAACGCACCUUGCGCCUCUUGGUAUUCCGAGAGGCAUGCCUGUUUGAGUGUCAUGAAAUAUCAAUCCCCGAGGGUUUCUUGACCCUUGGUGGACUUGGAAUUGGGUGUCUGCCUACCAAGGCUCACCUUAAAUGACUCAGUGGGAACUGCUUGACCCAUGCCUGACGUAAUAAGUUUCGUCUCAGCUGGUCCUGUGGCCUGCUCACAACAACCCAUAUCUUUUGACAUUGACCUCAAAUCAGGUAGGGCUACCCGCUGAACUUAA